rnacentral:lncRNA from 1 species
ACAUUUGUGUUUCAGGUGUAGAGAGGAGAGAGAGUGAACAGGGAGCGGGGCUUUUGUCUGUUUAUUACCCAGAACUCUUUGUCUGGGUCAGUCAAGAACCAUUUCCAAACAAGGACAUGGAGGGAAGGCUUCCUAAGGUAAGAUCCUUAGAUGCCAUAUUGUUAACACUAUUUUCAAUAUAGAAACAAUUGUUUUAAAAUAUCAGAGCUUUUUCAUUUGAAUACCCAUUAUAGGCUGCUAUAACAAUCCAUUAAUCUGAUACUAUGAUGACCUUGGAAAUAAUGUACUUUUAAAAAAUAUCCUAAAGUCCUAUGACUUAAAGUUCACAUUAUCUUCCUUCAUAAAUGAAAAAUUUUCAUUUAAAACAUGGAAUCAGUUUAUCAAAGUACAGUUUACAGGUUUUAAGUCUGUUCCAUUUCUGGUUAGACAAACUCAAAUACAAUGAUCAAACUAAAAGAUUUCUUAAAAGUAUGAUGACUAUUAAUUGUCUGCUAAUGAAGUCUGAAGGUCUGAUAAGAUUAUCCAUGAAGCAAAAGGGAGGAACAAAAAAACUGUUACAUUUCUUUCUUCUAAUUUUUGAGCCUAAAAACCAUUUUUUAUAAACGUGGUUUCAUUGUUCUGACAUCUUAGGUGUGGCAGUUCUCUGCCUCAAGAAAAUUUGUAAAAUUUAUAUUUUAGAUUUUAGCAUAAUUUCUGAAACAAACAAUAACAACUACUUACCAGUUUUUACUGUAGAUACUGGACUUUGCCUCUUAGGGUGAAUACUUGUUUGACUUCAAGCGGGGAGAGUAUACUUUUUAACCAAUGACUUGCUGAUUUUGCAGUUAAGAAAGAAAAACAGAAUCCACUGAAAAUAAAAUUUCUAUUUGAAAGUUUCAUAAGUGUAAUUGACUAACGGUGAGUCCUCCCCCAGCUGUUACUGGUAUUUCAAUGUUUAAGAAAUUAUUUUAUUUACACUAAAUAGUAUCAACAAUUCCCUAUCUUAUACUGGCAGGCAGAAACUGAAGAGGUUGUAUCAACUGGCAGUUUGCACUGAAAGAAAACAAUCUUAAAUCACUUUUAAUCUUGCAGAGCAUUUU